CCAAAUUGUAGUGUCAUUAGUAAAACCCUAGAGUGAACUGUUUUGUAAGUGUAAAUUAACAAAACUAGUCUUAAAACUUACCAACUUUGCAAGGCAUUCAGAUGAAAAUAUCUAAUGGAUCACAGGAAAUGACAUCAAUUAUAGGAAAUGUGGGAGUUGACUUCUAAGUUACUUGACAUUAAUUUAAUAGAGGUUAUAUUGGUAGCCUCGUUUGUAUGAAAUAUUCUAGGAGUCAUAACAACGUGAGCAUGCUAUGGACACUGAUUCUUCAAGUCAUUUGGAAACCACUGGGCGAGAUAGUGUUCAGAAAAAAUGAUUAUAGUAUAAGAAAAUGAGCGUCAAGUGCUAUUGAGUGAAAUAAAUUAAAUGUGGUUAUUUUAUGUAUUUAAGAAAUUUUAGAGGAAGAAAUGACCCCUGCUUAAUUCAGCCAUCAAGGAAGGCUUCAUGGAAUAAGUUACUUAUCAGGUGAUUCUUGAAAAGGGUUGGGGUUUGAAUAGAUGGGGAUGGAUGAAAUAGGGAAUUACUGGGGUACAAGCAAUAAACAAAUGAAAAAGAACUUCGGUGUUUGGAAAACUUGAAGAAGAUUCAAUCCCGAAGUCUAAAGAGCAUACAAGUAUAAGAUAAGCUGUGUUACUCCAGCUAAAAAUGAUAGAAUAGGGGGUGAGCACCCCCUCCCCCAGAGUGAAAGUUUAUGAGACUAAAUUUUAAGAUCCUCUGUGCAUGGGAAAUCUUUUUUAAUUGAUAGGAUUUAGAAAUUUGCAGAAACAUUCAUGCCUCAAGAGUCUUAUUAAAACCUAAAGGAAAGAGUAAGUUUGAGAGAAGAGUUGGGUAUUUUAAUCAUAGUCUGAAGUAAGAAUUUAAUAAUUCCAUUAAUUAAUGUGAAUAAGUUUCAGAAAGUUUAAAAAAUAAAUAUGUAUGGUUUAUAUAAAUAUGUAUAUAGUAUAUGCAUGUCAAUUACUCUUGUAUUCAAAUAUAAGUUAAAGUAACUCUACUUAGGGCCAUUACUUUCAAAUAGAAAUGAAAAUAUAUUCUUGAAUACCAUUUAAAAACAUGCCAUUCAAACAUACUAUACCAAUUUGAUUGAUUCAUUAUAUAUAAGAACUAUUGUAUUUUAGUUUUAUGUAAUGUUCUGUUUUAAUCACUAAUCAUUUCUCUUAGAUUUAAUCUGUGGGCUCAUUUUCAUGUCCUAUUUAAUGUCUUAUUUUGUCACUGAGAAAAAAGAGAAAUCCUUGCUUGCAGUAUGUCACCUGUUGUUUAAUGGCUAAAACUGUUACAUAUUUUCAUACUGUAUUACAUUAAGUCGUUUUAAAAGCAUUGCUUUCCCUUUUGCUUAGUAUUCCUACAGUCUUUGAGAUGUUGGUAGGGGGCUAAUGGAAGUCCUGAUUAAAAUCUUCUAAACUUCAAGGCUUUCAGUUCCUGCAAACAAUUUAGAUCUGAGAGAGAGAGACUUAUAUCUUUUCGAUACUCUAUUGACUGAUUUAAUAUUAAGAAAAAUCGUAAGUUUUUUAUUUCAUUUUAUUUUAGUAAGUACAAAUUAAAAUGUGUUUUUAAAAAUCA